UACAGAGGUCCCAAGCGUUGUUCGGAUUCACUGGGCGUAAAGGGUGCGUAGGCGGUCGGGUAAGUCUGAUGUGAAAUCUCACAGCUUAACUGUGAAACUGCAUUGGAUACUAUCCGGCUCGAGGAAUGGAGGGGAGACUGGAAUACUUGGUGUAGCAGUGAAAUGCGUAGAUAUCAAGUGGAACACCAGUGGCGAAGGCGGCUCACUGGCCCGGUACUGACGCUGAAAUACGAAAGCGUGGGGAGCAAACAGG
rnacentral:rRNA from 1 species